UGUCAGAAGGCAAGCAAUCCUCUCUACAUGUGCAAAGUCUAUAUUUAUAACCAGACCUCACUGUGUUGUUUAAUACGUCCUUCAAACCAGCAAAGCAUUCAUUUGUGUGAGCACAGCCAAAGAUGUUCCCCAUUAGCUCAGAUCUCCACACAGGCUCAAACCAAAGCAAGCAGGAUGACAAGCUCUGCUGCAGGCUCCUCUUUAAGGAGAGGUCAGUGGCCAACCCUUCCUUUAGAGUCUACUAUGGAGUGGCGUCCGGGGCUGUGCCAUUCCAGUGGGAGUCUCAGCCUGGAACCCCCAAGCACGUCAGCUCCACCGCUGCGCUCCCUCCCCUCACCCCUCCCCCCUCCUACUUCUACACCCCCAGGAGCAAGAGCUCCAUGAAGUCCUGCAAGUCCAGCUUCAUCCGCGCCAUGCUCCCCAAGCUCAGCCUAAGGAAGGUCCACAUCUCGCCUUCCUCGUCCCUCCCCUCGUCUUCCUCUUCCUUGAGCCCGCUGUCGUACUUCUCGGCCGUCGGCUAUGGCGAGGAGCCCGAGGACGGGCCGCCUGAGUCAACCUUGUGCUUUGGGAUGCGACGCAGGGCCGCGCCGGUGAAGAAGGCGCUCUUGUCGGUCGUCGGACAUGGUUGCGGCCGACGUACCGCUGCAUAAUGGUCUGACAUCGAACACCUUGUGGUCUCCGCUAACGAAGCAAGUCUCAUCUGCUGCCCAAAGCAAGAGGAAGGAGGUGAAGUGUUUGUCCAAGUUGCUGUAAUAAUGUGGGACUGAUAGCUUGUGUCUUCGUCACCACCACCUUCUAUUCUGUAUCAUUUUCUUGUUACAUGUAAGCUGUGAUGACAAAAUACCAAUUCAUGGUGAGGUCUGCUCUCUCACCACAAUUAUUGUCAUCAUAAGAUUGUGAUGGUUGUCUCAAAUUGUUGGUGGCCAAAGCAAAUUGCUUGAUGCAUUUCUGUGAA